UACAGAGGGGGCAAGCGUUGUUCGGAAUUACUGGGCGUAAAGGGCGCGUAGGCGGCCUGUUAAGUCGAACGUGAAAUCCCUGGGCUCAACCCAGGAACUGCGUCCGAUACUGGCAGGCUUGAAUUCGGGAGAGGGAUGCAGAAUUCCAGGUGUAGCGGUGAAAUGCGUAGAUAUCUGGAGGAAUACCGGUGGCGAAGGCGGCAUCCUGGACCGGCAUUGACGCUGAGGAGCGAAAGCCAGGGGAGCAAACGGG
rnacentral:rRNA from 1 species